rnacentral:rRNA from 1 species
AGUGAACGCUGGCGGUAGGCCUAACACAUGCAAGUCGAACGGCAGCACCGUAAGAGCUUGCUCUUACGGGUGGCGAGUGGCGGACGGGUGAGGAAUACAUCGGACUCUACUUUUUCGUGGGGGAUAACGUAGGGAAACUUACGCUAAUACCGCAUACGCCCUACGGUUGAAAGCAGGGGAUCUUCGCACCUUGCGCGAUUGAAUGAGCCGAUGUCGGAUUAGCUGGUUGGCGGGGUAAAGGCCCACCAAGGCAACGAUCCGUAGCUGGUCUGAGAGGAUGAUCAGCCACACUGGAACUGGGACACGGUCAAGACUCCUACGGGAGGCAGCAGUGGGGAAUAGUGGACAAUGGGCGCAAGCCUGAUCCAGCCAUACCGCGUGGGUGAAGAAGGCCUUCGGGUUGUAAAGCCCUUUUGUUGGGAAAGAAAAGCAGCAGGUUAAUACCACGCUGUUCUGACGGUACCCAAAGAAUAAGCACCGGCUAACUUCGUG